rnacentral:tRNA from 1 species
AGACCGUUAGCUCAGUCAGUUAGAGCACACGUCUGAUACACGUGAGGUCACAGGCGCACAUCCUGUACGGUCUA